GAAUGGCUAGCUAUCUUUGCUACAAUUGCUCACCUGAAAUUAUAGGUUGGUUUUCUCCAUAUCAGAGCUGCUUUGUGAGUGAACUCUACUGUACCUCCUGUGCCAAAAGUGAAGCUCCUUGAGGAGGUGAGUAAGGGGAGUGUGUUCAACUAACUUCCUGGUAAACAGAUCAGAGAAUAAUAGAAUCUCAGUGUUGAAAGGACUGUCAGUCAUCAUCUCGUUCAACCACUCACCUGAAAAUCUCAACUUCCUUUUAGACUUGCCCAAUUUUACGUGUGAAAACCGAAGACUUACCCAGAGUCACAGAAAGAGUGGUGACAAUCAGGACUAGGAUCCAGAGAACGUGAAUUUUUUCCUGGCUCCUGAAAAAUGCAUGAACAUGGAACUAUCAUCACAAUCUCGCCUUAUUUACAUGAGAGUGUGGAAAACAGACACAUGAAGCACCCUGGCUGUUUGGAACUGAAAACAAGUAUUCUUCUAUGACAGGAAAGCACUAAAGGUCAAAUGACUCUCAGAGCUGGGGCAGGCACUCUGAUCUCAGAGUCCCACAGAGAGGGCGGCGUUCCGGGGACGUGGGGCCCUUGUCAUGGCAGCUCUUCUUCCCGUCUUCCUAGCAACCUUCACACCACCCCUCCCCCACUUCUCAAGGCUCUUACCAGGCCUGUGCUUCUGUGGCCUGUGGAAGAAGUGGAAGCUUUUGCAGUCAACAAGAGAGAAGGAGGUGAUGUUCCACCAUGAGCUCUGGCAGCACUUUACUUAGCUUUCUUUUGGGACAUCUAGAAAAUGGCCACUCGGAAAAAUCCUCCCCUAAGAGGGCUGAUUUUCUGAGACUUUUUUUGCUCCGGGCCAGAUAAAAAGAACUGGAAAAAGAAGACAGGCCUCCUGCUAUUAUGUAACCAGGGUGUCUGGCCUUGUUCAUAUCCUGGCUUCCUGAGGGACGUCACUUCCUUUCCCAAUAUCCUUUGGAUGUACUGGUAGAUAUGCAGGGUCUUGUGUUUCCCUUGCAAUUCUUUUGGGAUGAAAUGAUCUUCUUUCUUACUGUCUCCUUCCUGUCCCUCCUUCUUCUCCUUCCUUCCUUCCUUCCUUCCUUCCUUCCUUCCUUCCUUCUUUCCUUCCUUCCUAUGCAUUUUUCUGUCAGAUUUUCCUUUGUCUUUUUCCUGAACAUGCCACCAGGAGAAAGUCAUGAUUGUCUUGUUGAGUUCCUUCUGCAUUUUGGAACAGUCUUGGGAAGUGUGUUUUUAUGAAGCAACUCAGGAACUUGAGCUAUCUGCAAUGACCUCCCCCACCUCCUCUGGAGUAGACCUUCACUUCCAUAAUCAGGAUGGCUUUGGAUCCUUUUCCCAGAUCACUCUGUUACAUGAUUCUAUACUACAUGUGAUCCAUUUUGCUAGGAAUGAACUGAUAUUAUUAUUAUUAUUGUUUAUUUAUUUCUGACAGACAGACAGAGAGAGACAGAGAGAGACAGAGCAUGAGCAGGGGAGGGGCAGAGAGAGAGGGAGACACAAAAUGUGAAGCAGGCUCCAGGCUCUGAGCUGUCAGCACAGAGCCCAACGCGGGGCUUGAACUUGUGAACUGUGAGAUCAUGACCUGAGUCAAAGUUGGAUGCCCAACCGUCCAAUAUUAUUAACUUGACCUUUAGGUGGUAGGGUAACAAUUCUGUAGGAUGAUGAGGAGAGGCUUUUAGAACAUGCACAAUGUAGUAGAAGGGUAGAAAGAAGGAGAGCUUUGGGAUUAUUGCACCCUAUGUUCAAAUCCCAAGUUUGUCACCUGUGUGACAGCAAGAAGGUCACUAUAACUUUUCUGAACAUCAGUUUCCAUACCUGAAGAAUCGAAGCAAUAAUAUUGCUAACAUUAUGGGAUUAUUGAAGGCCAAAGUCUUGACUUCAGAAGAUGCCUAAUGAAUGUAAACACCUCAAUUUUCUUGCUGAUAAUAGAAGAGCAGACCCUCCUAAUUCUCUUGUAAACAUUUUUCCUAUUGACUGGACCUACCACUUACUGAGGGCUUACUUUUUGCCAGCUCCUCUUCUUAGCAUUUUGUUUCAGUUAAUCUUCAUUACAAUCUCAUGACCUAGAGAUACUUUGAAUUGACCUGUGAAAAGCUGUGACUUUCAAGGGGGCUAAAUGACUCACUUGAGGACACCCAACUGGGAAGCAGCUCAACAGGAGAGCUGGAUUCAGCUUCCCCCUGUCAGGCUCGUUCCAGAACCCUCACGUUGAACUACCAUGCACACUGCCUUCCAGUAGCGUAUAUUUGGGGCAAGCAUUUCCUUUGGUAUUUCCAAAGCAGGAAGUCCAAUGGGAUAGCCAGACCUUUCAUAGAGACAUAAGAAUUAAAAUAACUCGGCUGUGAUCAAUGGGAAGAGGUGUUUCACUGAGACCUGCUGUUGAAGUAAUCAAGGACUCAUUACUCGAAGAAAUUGUUUUCAGCUUGGAUUCACUUUUUGCUGCCGGGUCUGGGCUCGUCAUCAUGGACAGAAGGCGUACUUGUUAAUGCUGGUGUGUUAAAGUUGAACAGUGCCCAGAGCCAGGCACCUGCAGUAAUUUCUCCAUGUAUUAAAGCCUUGAGGCAGGUCUAUGAAAGGUGGUAAUAGGCACAUCUUGGAAAAGACUGUUUUUUCGCAGAUUGAACAAAGGUUUGGAAACUAAAAGCCACUUUCUUUUUUUAAAACUGUAAGAUCUAAUAAUAUUUAUAAGAAAAAUAAAAAUGUCAUUCUGG